UACGUAGGGUGCGAGCGUUAAUCGGAAUUACUGGGCGUAAAGCGUGCGCAGGCGGUUCGUUGUGUCGGCGGUGAAAGCCCCGGGCUUAACCUGGGAAUGGGCGUCGAAACUGGCGAACUGGAGUGUGGCAGAGGGGGGUGGAAUUCCGCGUGUAGCAGUGAAAUGCGUAGAGAUGCGGAGGAACACCGAUGGCGAAGGCAGCCCGCUGGGCUGACACUGACGCUCAGGCACGAAAGCGUGGGGAGCAAACAGG
rnacentral:rRNA from 1 species